CAGCAGCCACGGGAAUACGUAGGGUGCAAGCGUUAAUCGGAAUUACUGGGCGUAAAGCGUGCGCAGGCGGUUUGUUAAGACAGAUGUGAAAUCCCCGGGCUUAACCUGGGAACUGCAUUUGUGACUGGCAAGCUAGAGUAUGGCAGAGGGGGGUGGAAUUCCGCGUGUAGCAGUGAAAUGCGUAGAUAUGCGGAGGAACACCGAUGGCGAAGGCAGCCCCCUGGGCCAAUACUGACGCUCAUGCACGAAAGCGUGGGGAGCAAACAGGAUUAGAGACCCGCGUAGUCCCUGUCUCUUAUAA
rnacentral:rRNA from 1 species